rnacentral:snRNA from 1 species
AUCACUUCUUGGCCUUUUGGCUAAGAUCAAGUGUAGUAUCUAUUCUUAUCAGUUUAAUAUCUGAUAUACCCUGUAUCUGAGGACAAUAUAUUAAAUGGAUUUCUGGAGCAGGGAGAUGGAAAAGGGGCUUAUUCCGUAAACUCCACAUAUUGACCUGGUAUUACAGUACCUCCAGGAAUGGUGCACCAGAA